AUGCACCACCGCAGCAGCAGGACGAUGGUAUUGCGGCACAUGGCACCGGAGCUGAGCCUGGGCAUGAGGAGCAACGGCUAUGUGCGGGUCCUCGACCUGCUCGGCCUCAACCUGCAGACCUUCGCCAAGGUUCCCCUCAAGUCCCACAUGGUGGAUGAAAUCAGGGAGGUAAUAUUUUUCAUGACCCAUCUUCCUGCUGAACAGUAG
rnacentral:rRNA from 1 species